CAGUAUCAUUCUGGGUGAGGGCAUUUGCUGAGGAUACAGCGAAACGUCUGGAAAAUUUUGGGUUUAUACAAUUUAGGCCUGGAGGGGAAUAUCAUGGGAACAAUCCAGAGAUGUCUAAAUUACUUCAUAAAGCUGUCCGUGAAAAGAAUGAAACAGCUUAUGCAGUGUAUCAGCAGCAUCUAGCUAAUCGUCCUGUUACAGUGGAAUGUCACUUGGAGCUAUCUCGAGAGAAACUCAUGAAACAAUAGCUAUUGCAAUGAACAGAUUAGGUGGAAAGUCCAAUUCAGGGGAAGGAGGCGAGGAUCCCAUCCGUUGGAAGCCACUUACAGAUGUUGUUGAUGGGUACUCUCCAACGCUGCCACAUCUUAAGGGUCUUCAAAAUGGGGAUACUGCCACAAGUGCUA